CUAGAAGGCGACAGACAAUGCGACGCUUCUCUAGGCGCGCCCUCGUCUUCUGUUACAGUGGACAACUCGGACCUUCUUGUCAUUAAUUUAGUCCUGUUUCUGCAUACUGCCAUAUGCUAUCCGCCGGCCAGAUCUAACCGAGCACGCUCAACUGCUGGGUAUCAAUGUGGAAUAAUGGUGUCAGAAAGAAUGGAUCCGGAUUCACCUGCAACUGCAGACUUGGAACCGCAUUGCGAGCCUGACAAAGAUUCAGAAGAGAUCAAUGUUGAAUGCAUUACGCCUGACUGUGAUCAGCAAGGUCAACACUCUGGAGAUCUAGAUUUAGAGAACGAGUACAACGGCUGGAAGGCACUGUGAUAAAGAUGGCAGAUAACUUGGAAGAGAUCAUUAAUAGAAGAACUGGAAAUGAAGAAUUGGAAAUGAAGAAUUAGAAAGUGACAACGUAAUUCUUCUCAAUUGAACUUCCUUGUGUCUUCAAUUUAUUACUAUUAAGUUAAAUAAUGUGUUAAUUGUUCUUGGAGAAUAUGAAGAUGGCAACAAUCUAGACAUGCCUUUUUUGAAAACGAAAUGAAAGCUGCAUCAUCCGCUUCUGUGGCCGUGAGAGAACUAGCUGCAAUUGUCUUUACAAAAGACGAAUUGAUUAUCAGCAGUGUACGUCGGCUGAAAAGCCACAAAGAUAAGCAAGCAAAGCUUUCCCAGCCACCUAGGAAGCUUGAAGAAUUACGCAUCAUUAUCAAGACGUACCACGACAUUUCUGAAGGGAAGAUCAACCAAAUCCUGGGAGACAACUUGAAAUACUUGCGAGUAAAAGACAACCAAUGACAUUGUAUGGAUGCGUAUUAUAGCUGGAAAAGUAUGUCUAGAUGUUAAUUGUGCAAUACAGCGAUUUCCA